UUCCUACGGGACGCAGCAGUGGGGGAUAUUGCACAAUGGGGGGAACCCUGAUGCAGCGACGCCGCGUGGGUGAAGAAGCGCCUCGGCGCGUAAAGCCCUGUCAGCAGGGAAGAAAAUGACGGUACCUGAAGAAGAAGCCCCGGCUAACUACGUGCCAGCAGCCGCGGUAAUACGUAGGGGGGAAGCGUUAUCCGGAUUUACUGGGGGUAAAGGGGGCGCAGACGGCGAUGCAAGCCAGGAGUGAAAGCCCGGGGCCCAACCCCAGGACUGCGCUUGGAACUGCGUGGCUGGAGUGCAGCAGGGGG
rnacentral:rRNA from 1 species